GUUUUGUUUGUGUUCUAUCGCAACGCAUCUUUUUCAGGUGGCUAGUCAAAGGAUGGCGUUAUCACCAGAGAGCCCCGACUUGAACAUCGAGGAGCCCGCAAUUCUGGCCUACCAUAAGCAGGCUGACUUCGCAGCGUUUUUGGUCAACGAGUAUUUUAUCAAACCUAGCAAGCAGCUAGAGGAGGCGAGGCAGGAUGACACAAACGGACUGCUGCCACUUGUAUCGCUUGACUGUCUGCUGCCAAGCGGCGAUAUUGAUAAGAUAGUCGGGCACAUUUGCGAGGAGACGCACUUGAUAGACGAAAGGCAUGUUCAGCAACGGAAGCCAUUUCGCAUUCUGGAAAAGCCUUUACUCAUUCCGGCGAUGCUGGCAGCCUUGCUGCAUCGUAUUCUUUUUGAAAAGGCCGGUGUUUUUAUCUCAUCGACAACAUUUGAUUUGUGGGCAAGCACGGCUCUCGGCUUUCCGGCGAGAACUAGUCGCCUUUGGCUAGAUGCGUGCGCGAAAGUCGAAGAGGCCUUGGAAGAGAGCAGCGUGAAGCAGCUUCUGAGAAAACGUAGCGCCUCCGAUACAGGCAUUCAUGCCAUAAAAAGGCAAGCUGACUCGAAAGGAGCACUCCUCUCCUUGUGGUGCAGCGCUUGCUCAAUGCUAUGUGCAUCACUUACAAGUCCUCUCCUUUCGAUGGAAACGUGCCAAGAACACUUCACUCAGGCUGUUGGGCGCUCUAUAAGCUUUCGAAAGGAUAUCGAAUCGAAAACAAGCAGUGUAAUGUAUGGGAGGGGAGCGCCGGGGUUCAACAUUCACGCGGCCGGAGAACCAGAGCUAUGCAGCUGUCUUGUCUUUCAUUCAUUUUUCCGUCAGCUGGAAACGCUCUUCCAUAGGGCGAUCGACUCGAAAGUGAAAAUGAAUGUCUCGGCACACAUUUCGUUUGCUGUGUUUAUAGGAUGCCUAAAUGCCUUUACCUACUAUCGCUACUCUGCAAACAAGGCGGGAUCCGUGUGCAGGCUCCUCGACACCGUAGCACACGUGGCAGAUGGGAAAAGCCUGACCCAUCAAUUUGAUCUGAAGAGUGUCGAAGUGCGGCAACUGUCGAGGUACGUGCAACGGGCUUCUGUUCUUAGCAGUGACGAGGUUUUCAGCGGGAUCUCGCAUCGCCGUGCACGAAAAGAGUCAUGGGCCUCCUCUGCGUCCAUCCUGCCGCGUUUUUCUGAGAUGAAUUAUAGUACAAUACGCAUGACUGACAUUUACCCGUUUUCAAUGGUGGCAGCGAUGGGCCCUGAGUUGGACGAUAUUGGUGGAUGUAGCGUCUCCACGGAUGUGAGAGUGCAUCCCGAGGAUGAAGACGACGAGAACUUCGUAGAGAUGACAACCAUUUAUCUCGAUGAAAGCGGAGAUGAGAGAUGCACACAAUACAUUCUUUCUGCGGAAGAGGCAGCUUCCAAGAGGCAAGUCCAAGAAAAGCUUUACGGAGGAAAGCAAGGCCAAAAAAGCUAACGUGAUUUUUCUGCUGUGCGUUUAGGUUACGUUAAGAACCUCGUUUAUGCUUGUUCAUCUUUUCAUUUUUUUUUCCUUGACCCCUUGCUGCUGAGUACGCAUGACACGAGCAAAU
rnacentral:misc_RNA from 1 species